ensembl:lncRNA
ACAUUGUUGUGCCCCUGGCCUGAGAAGAUGGAAGUUCAAUAUGUAGCUAGAUGUAGAAGGCUAAUGUUAACUAGCUAAUGUUGCCCAUGAAUGUAAGUUAGGCAAGCAAGCAUUUUAGCCAGGUAGCCUAGGACAACAAAAAAAAAGCAUGUACUGUAUGACAGAGUGAUAGGCCAUUUCGUCAACAUGAAAGAGAGGAGGAUGACAUUGUAGAGAAACGUCAAGUAGGGCCGGUGGUGGCUGGUCUACUCCAGGAGUCUGAGGUGC